GCGCGGCGAUAAACCUUACACACAUUGUCUAGUUUUUUUGAACUUUGCUUUGGGUGGUGAGCCUGGCUUACUGCCCAAAGGUCUAAACACAUUUUUUUUAAUGUUAAAACCUUUAACCAAUAGUCAUGAAAAUUUUUAACAAAAAUUAAAAUCUUCAAAACUUUCAACAACGGAUCUCUUGGUUCUCGCAACGAUGAAGAACGCAGCGAAAUGCGAUACGUAUUGUGAAUUGCAGAUUUUCGUGAAUCAUCGAAUCUUUGAACGCACAUUGCACCCUCUGGUAUUCCAGAGGGUAUGCCUGUUUGAGCGUCAUUUCUCUCUCAAACCUUCGGGUUUGGUAUUGAGUGAUACUCUGUCAAGGGUUAACUUGAAAUAUUGACUUAGCAAGAGUGUACUAAUAAGCAGUCUUUCUGAAAUAAUGUAUUAGGUUCUUCCAACUCGUUAUAUCAGCUAGGCAGGUUUAGAAGUAUUUUAGGCUCGGCUUAACAACAAUAAACUAAAAGUUUGACCUCAAAUCAGGUAGGACUAC
rnacentral:rRNA from 1 species